rnacentral:misc_RNA from 1 species
UAAUAAGUGUUUUAUGGCACUUUUUAAAUCCAUAUCCACCUUGUGUGCAAUGUCAGUCGAUCUUCUUCAUGGAGAUCGACCAAACAUCAACCUUUAUCUUUUAACUCUUUGUCAGAAAAAUAUUAUGAACAAACAAUUCAAAAUA